UCCAAAUAUGCGCCGGCAUCAUCUCCUCUAACCGGCAUUGGAUAGCACUUGGGCGCCUGAAAUUUCUGCUGCAUUAACUGCGCAUACAUAGCCCUAGACAUCUUAACCACCAUGCGAACCAGUUCUUCCUCCCUCCCUCUGCUCAGAAACUUCUCCAUUUUCGCUGCGUACUUCAUUGUAUCAAUAUCUCUGUCGUAAAAUCCCUCAACUGCUAAAGAGAUCAAACAAAGCUCGUGCUUGAGAACCUGUGCCACUGAUGUUGGAACCCUAACCCGAACCUGAUGGAUAUUUCGUCUCGCUCUUUCCGGAUAAUCCGAAAUUCGGCUCUUCACCGCUUUUUGAAUAGAGUCCGCCGCUCGCGAUUCGCUUUCAUAGUAAGUAAAAAAUUUCAACGAAUCGAUUAAGUUCGGAUUAGACAACCGGCUUUUGGGAACAAUAUGGAGCUCGCCACCGCGAAUAAAAACGCGGUUUCCACUGUUCUCGGGAUUAAUCCAUCGAGGGAGGUGAAAAGCAGCUUCAAUAAGGAGGAAUUCGCCGUCGUUGUCCCAUACGCGUAUGGAAAGGGAAGG
rnacentral:misc_RNA from 1 species